AUGAACGCUGGCGGCGUGCUUAACACAUGCAAGUCGAACGGUGCUAGCAAUGGCACAGUGGCGCACGGGUGAGGAACACGUAGCUUAUCUGCCCACCAGCGCGGGAUAACGCCCCGAAAGGGGUGCUAAUACCGCAUAAGCUCCCAGGCUACAGAGGCCGGGGAGAAAAGGGGAAACUCGCUAGUGGAGGAGGCUGCGGCCCAUCAGGUAGUUGGUGCGGUAACGGCGCACCAAGCCGACGACGGGUAGGGGACCUGAGAGGGUGAUCCCCCACACUGGGACUGAGACACGGCCCAGACGCCUACGGGAGGCAGCAGUGAGGAAUAUUGCCCAAUGGGCGCAAGCCUGAGGCAGCGACGCCGCGUGGGUGAAGAAGGCCGUCGGGUCGUAAAGCCCUUUUCUGGGUGACGAGCAAGGGACGGUAGCACAGGAAAAAGUCUCGGCUAACUACGU
rnacentral:rRNA from 1 species